UUAACUCAGAUUUAUAUGGAGUUGGAACGUUUGCCGUUAGGGGUGCUGUUCCAAGUGCAUACAAAUUUAAGUUA
rnacentral:pre_miRNA from 1 species